CGUACAACUCUGAGCGGUGGAUCACUCGGCUCGUGUGUCGAUGAAGAGCGCAGCCAACUGUGUGAAUUAAUGUAAACUGCAUACUGCUUUGAACAUCGACAUCUUGAACGCAUAUUGCGGCCAUGGGUUAGCCUGUGGCCACGCCUGUCCGAGGGUCGGCUUAUAAACUAUCACGACGCCCAAAAAGUCGUGGCUUGGGUUUUGCCAGCUGGCGUGAUUUCCUCUGU
rnacentral:rRNA from 1 species